CCUGGAACAACACCAGAGACCAUCCAGGAAUGAUCCAAUAUUAAUAAUAAGAAUUUUUUUUGUUGUAUAACUCCAAAUUCAUAGUUAUUGUUUGCUUUGUAUUCGUAGUGAUAUAUAUCUUCAUCGCGAUAAAAACUUUAUGCCUCAAAACUCGGCAGCAUGGAGUGCUUGCGAUUUUCUUGGAAGUAACAACAACAAAGUUUGUGUGACAUAUUGGCUAAACAUCAAGGUUCAAAAUGUAUAUUGAUACUCACUUUGAAGGACCUUCCCUUUUUCCCAAUGAUUCUCCUGAUAAGGAGUUUACUGAAGAAAUUCUAUCUUACACAGAUACCUUUUACAAGACAGUUGUUUCUUCUUUUAAAGGAGAUGUGAAUGAGGCUGAUACUGCUUUUGAUUACAUUGAGAAUGUUCUCUCCAAGUAUGAUAAUGGACCUUUCUUCCUUGGCCAAUUUAGUUUGGUGGAUAUAGCAUAUGCUCCUUUUAUGGAAAGAUUUCAACCUUUUCUAGUGGAAGUGAAAAAUUAUGACAUUACAUUGGGCAGACCUAAAUUGGCGGCAUGGAUUGAGCUUCAAAACAGUUGAUAGAUCACUUGAGGAAUGAGUAUGAUAAGGUUCUUGAACACAACAAUGACAUGAUUUUUGGUGAAUUGAGGCAGAGGAGUGUGAAUAGUAGUUCUGAGGAUUUAGUUGCUUCUCUGGUGGGCGAUGAAGGUGAAAUUGGGAAGGGCGAUGAUAGUGUGAAGGCGAAUCCGGUCAAGCUCGAGACGCCGAGAAAAGAAACUGAAAGGAGUGUCUACAAAAUCGAAAAAGGUGGAAUCGGUUGACUGGAAGUGGAUAAUGGAAGAAGAUCCAAAUUUGAAAUACAAAACACAUUGUUCUCAACUAUACAGAAAAUGAUGUGUUAGAUGAUGGCUGUUAAGUUUUGAUAACUUUUGAGUUGACUAAUUUGUAAUUGUUGCAGUACAACUCUGAGCCUGAAGCUGUUGACCUUUUAAUGGAGGUUGAGGACCUUGACAUGUUGAAUGAAUAUAUAGACAAAACAAAUUUUAAGAGGACUUGCCUGUAUCUCACC